rnacentral:rRNA from 1 species
GAUGAACGCUGGCGGCGUGCCUAAUACAUGCAAGUCGAGCGAACGCACGAUAAGCGCGUUUCUCUGAGGUUAGCGGCGGACGGGUGGGUAACACGUGGAUAACCUUCUUCUAAUUCUGGGGUAACUUCGUGAAGCCGGAGCUAAUACCGGCUCAUAUUUUGUACCGCAUGGUUCAAAAGUGCAAGACGGUUUUGCUGAUACUUAUAGAUGGAUCCGCGCUGCAUUAGCUAGUUGGUAAGGUAACGGCUUACCAAGGCAACGAUGCAUAGCCGACCUGAGAGGAUGAUCAGCCACACUGGAACUGAGACACGGUCCAGACUCCUACGGGAGGCAGCAGUGGGGAAUCUUCCACAAUGGGCGCAAGCCUGACGCAGCCAUGCCGCGUGAGUGAUGAAGGCCUUCGGGUCGUAAAGCUCUGUUGUUGGGGAAGAACAGAAGUAUAAGUAUCCCUGGCAGUUCUGACGGUACCUAAUGAAUAAGCACCGGCUAACUUCGUG